GACGAACGCUGGCGGCGUGCUUAACACAUGCAAGUCGAACGGAAAGGCCCUGCUUUUGUGGGGUGCUCGAGUGGCGAACGGGUGAGUAACACGUGAGUAACCUGCCCUUGACUUUGGGAUAACUUCAGGAAACUGGGGCUAAUACCGGAUAGGAGCUCCUGCUGCAUGGUGGGGGUUGGAAAGUUUCGGCGGUCGGGGAUGGACUCGCGGCUUAUCAGCUUGUUGGUGGGGUAGUGGCUUACCAAGGCUUUGACGGGUAGCCGGCCUGAGAGGGUGACCGGCCACAUUGGGACUGAGAUACGGCGCAGACUGCUACGGGAGGCAGCAGUGGGGAAUAUUGCACAAUGGGCGGAAGCCUGAUGCAGCAACGCCGCGUGCGGGAUGACGGCCUUCGGGUUGUAAACCGCUUUCGCCUGUGACGAAGCGUGAGUGACGGUAAUGGGUAAAGAAGCACCGGCUAACUACGUG
rnacentral:rRNA from 1 species